rnacentral:rRNA from 1 species
CCUACGGGGUGCAGCAGUGGGGAAUAUUGGACAAUGGGGGGAACCCUGAUCCAGCGACGCCGCGUGAGUGAAGAAGUAUUUCGGUAUGUAAAGCUCUAUCAGCAGGGAAGAAAGAAAUGACGGUACCUGACUAAGAAGCCCCGGCUAACUACGUGCCAGCAGCCGCGGUAAUACGUAGGGGGCAAGCGUUAUCCGGAUUUACUGGGUGUAAAGGGAGCGUAGACGGCGAUGCAAGUCUGAAGUGAAAGGCGGGGGCUCAACCCCCGGACUGCUUUGGAAACUGUAUGGCUGGAGUGCAGGAGAGGUAAGUGGAAUUCCUAGUGUAGCGGUGAAAUGCGUAGAUAUUAGGAGGAACACCAGUGGCGAAGGCGGCUUACUGGACUGUAACUGACGUUGAGGCUCGAAAGCGUGGGGAGCAAACAGGAUUAGAUACCCUAGUAGUC